rnacentral:rRNA from 1 species
GAGACCUCAGGUCAGGCGGGGCUACCCGCUGAGUUUAAGCAUAUCAAUAAGCGGAGGAAAAGAAACUAACAAGGAUC